AAAAUUACUUGAUGUUGUCCUUUAUUCGAUCUAAGCCCCGAUUAACCUUCAUUUAAGUCACUUUAUUGGACGAGCUUCUCAAAUACAACACUCACUUUUUCUGUGCGUCACACAUACAACCGCGUUCUUCUUCUCCUCGCUGACUCACGACGCCGAAAACCAAUCCGCCCGUCAAAAUAAAAGUUCCCCCAAAAUAAUAAUGAUUUUUUUUAGAUAAUAUAUACCCGUUACAUUCCCCCCUGCUAAACCCUGCCAUGCCAUCGACAUCUCCAGCAGGCUCAUCUCUGAAACACAAAAAACAUAUUAGGAAGACAUCACAUUGUACAUGACUUUUUCUCCCAAUACCUUAAAAGUUACAGAACUUUCUAGACUCUUAUUUCAGAAUGUAAUCAUCCUUAUACCUUACAGGCAAUCUACCCUGGGUUUCCCUCUUCGAACGUCUAAGAUCAGCUACAUUACCCUUUUCACAUACCACUCCGCCCUCAGCUUCCCCAGGUAAGCAUGUGUUUGGUAAGUGUGUAGUAUAUGGAAUGUAAACAAUGUCUUGUGAGUCUGAGUCUGACAAUUCUUUCCUUCUUGCAUGUGUAACCUGCCUUGUGGGUGAGGGGAAAGUACAGUGUCUCAACUGAUCUCUGUGAACGACCUUUGUGGAACCUCCCUGCUCAGGACUUACAGUAAAGACUGGUAAACCUACAUGAUUUUGCUGCAUUACCAAAUAUGGUACAGACUCCCACUUAUCUUGAAUUUUGUUACGUCCUCUAAACUUGUGGUUACGCAACAAUACUCUGUCACCAGGUCUAAUGAGCGCUCCUGAGGCCUUGCGGUCAUAGACCCUCUUCCUUCUCCUGGAAGCUUCUUGAGCAGUUGCCUUCGCCGUCUCCACUGCAGUUCUCAGGCGUUCAUGGUGAUUCUUUACCCACUCAUCAAGAUCAUCCGCCUCAUCAUCAGAUAGGUCUUUUCCUCCUAGAACAUCCAUGGGCAGUCUUGCGUCCCGUCUGAACAUUAAAUAAAAUGGGGAGUAACCGGUCGAUGAAUGAACAUGGCUAUUAUAGGCCAUCACAAGUUCAGGCAGGUGAGUUUUCCAAUCCUUCUUCUUUUCC
ensembl:lncRNA